rnacentral:rRNA from 1 species
CUCUUUAGCUUGGCAUUUGAAUCGGCUUUGCUGUUGCGAAGUAGAGUGGCGGCUUCGGCUGCCGAGGGUCGAUCCAUUUGGGAAAUGUUGUGUACUUCGGUAUGCAUCUCAAUUGGACCUGAUAUCAGGCAAGAUUACCCGCUGAACUUAAGCAUAUUAAUAAGCGGAGGAAAAGAAACUAACAAGGAUUCCCCUAGUAACGGCGAGUGAAGCGGGAAGAGCUCAAGCUUAAAAUCUCCGUGCAAGUUUUGCGCGGCGAAUUGUAGUCUAUAGAGGCGUGAUCAGUGUGGGCGCUUGGGGCAAGUUCCUUGGAAGAGGACAGCAUGGAGGGUGAUACUCCCGUUCAUCCCUGAGUUGCUCGUGCGUACGAUCCGUUUUCUUUGAGUCGCGUUGUUUGGGAAUGCAGCGCAAAGUAGGUGGUAAAUUCCAUCUAAAGCUAAAUAUUGGUGCGAGACCGAUAGCGAACAAGUACCGUGAGGGAAAGAUGAAAAGAACUUUGAAAAGAGAGUUAAAGAGUACCUGAAACUGCUGAAAGGGAACCGAAUCGUUUCCAGUGUCUAUAAUCCGUGGUAUAUUUCAUUGGCGAGUGUGUGCGUGCGUGUGCUGUGGCAGCGGCUUUUUUGGCUGCGCUCGGCGUGUGUGCUGUGUGUGCUUGCUGGUGCCCUGUGCUGCGGUGGGACGUCAAGGUCAGUUCGUAUGCUGCGGGAAAUGGCCGCCGAGGAGGUAGGGCUUACGCUUGCGUUUGUCUGUUAUAUCUUGGUGGACGAGUAGUCGCGGUUGGGACUGAGGUGCCUACAACGUGUUUUUGAGUGGGCCUGUGUCUCUGUGUGCGCCGUGUGCGGAUAGCUUGCUAUGCGUGUGUGGUUGUGUGUGGAUUGAUGUGGGUUUUAACUUGUUGCCGUUCGGGACGUUGACGAAAUGGAGCGAUUUGACCCGUCUUGAAACACGGACCAAGGAGUCUAACAUGUGUGCAAGUGUUAGGGUGUGGAAACCCCAGCGCGAAAUGAAAGUGAAGGGCAGCGUAAGUUGUCUGAGGUAGGAAAUGCUGCGGGCUUCGGUCUGCGGUGUGGCACUAUCGACCGAUCAUGAACCUUCGUGGUGAAAGAUUUGAGUUUGAGCACAUAUGUUGGUACCCGAAAGAUGGUGAACUAUGCCUGAGUAGGGUGAAGCCAGGGGAAACUCUGGUGGAAGCUCGUAGCGAUUCUGACGUGCAAAUCGAUCGUCAAACUUGGGUAUAGGGGCGAAAGACUAAUCGAACCAUCUAGUAGCUGGUUCCCUCCGAAAUUUCCCUCAGGAUAGCAGCAACUUAUUUACGAUAGUUUUAUGAGGUAAAGCGAAUGAUUAGAGGAUUCGGGGAAGAAACUUCCUCGACCUAUUCUCAAACUUUAAAUCUGUAAGACCUGCAGGUUUCUUAAUUGAACUUGUGGAUGUGAAUAUCAAGUUGCUAGUGGGCCAUACGGGGUAAGCUCGUCUGGCGAUGCGGGAUGAACCGAACGCAAAGUUAAAGUGCCAAAAUGCUCGCUCACCUAGAUACCAUAAAAGGUGUUGGUUCAUUUAGACAGCAGGACGGUGGCCAUGGAAGUCGGAAUCCGCUAAGGAGUGUGUAACAACUCACCUGCCGAAUGAACUAGCCCUGAAAAUGGAUGGCGCUAAAGCGGGCUACUUAUACUUUGCCGUUAGCGCGAUAGCAUUUAUAAUGUACGCGUUAAUGAGUAGGAGGGCGUGAAGGUCGUGAAGAAGCUCGUGGCGUGAGCCUGAGUGAAACGGCCUUUAGUGCAGAUCUUGGUGGUAGUAGCAAAUAUUCAAAUGCGAACUUUGAAGACUGAAGUGGAGAAAGGUUCCGUGUGAUCAGUAAUUGGACACGGGUGAGUCGAUCUUAAGAGAUUUGUAUAAUUCCGUUUGAAAGCUGGGCUGUUUGAG